UACGAAGGGGGCUAGCGUUGCUCGGAAUCACUGGGCGUAAAGCGCACGUAGGCGGAUUGUUAAGUCAGGGUGAAAUCCUGGAGCUCAACUCCAGAACUGCCUUUGAUACUGGGAGCUCGAGUCCGGAAGAGGUGAGUGGAACUCCGAGUGUAGAGGUGAAAUUCGUAGAUAUUCGGAAGAACACCAGUGGCGAAGGCGGCUCACUGGUCCGGUACUGACGCUGAGGUGCGAAAGCGUGGGGAGCAAACAGG
rnacentral:rRNA from 1 species